rnacentral:misc_RNA from 1 species
GAAAUGCGAUAAGUAAUGUGAAUUGCAGAAUUCAGUGAAUCAUCGAAUCUUUGAACGCAUAUUGCGCCCGCCAGUAUUCUGGCGGGCAUGCCUGUUCGAGCGUCAUUUCAACCAUCAAGCCCCCGGCUUGUGUUGGGGACCUGCGGCUGCCCGCAGGCCCUGAAAACCAGUGGCGGGCUCGCUGUCACACCGAGCGUAGUAGCAUACAUCUCGCUCAGGGCGUGCUGCGGGUUCCGGCCGUUAAAAGCCUUUUUUACCCAAGGUUGACCUCGGAUCAGGUAGGAAGACCCGCUGAACUUAAGC